rnacentral:rRNA from 1 species
GACAGAGGGGGCAAGCGUUGCUCGGAAUUACUGGGCGUAAAGGGCGCGUAGGCGGGAUGGCACGUCGGUCGUGAAAUCCCUCGGCUCAACUGAGGAGCGUCGAUCGAAACUGCCGUUCUUGAGGGUUGCAGAGGAGACUGGAAUUCCCGGUGUAGCGGUGAAAUGUGUAGAGAUCGGGAGGAACACCGGUGGCGAAGGCGGGUCUCUGGGCAACUCCUGACGCUGAGGCGCGAAAGCGUGGGGAGCAAACGGG